rnacentral:rRNA from 1 species
GGGCUUGACAUCCCACGAACCUGCUAGAGAUAGCGGAGUGCUCUUCGGAGAACGGGGUGACAGGUGCUGCAUGGCUGUCGUCAGCUCGUGUCGCGAGAUGUUGGGUUAAGUCCCGCAACGAGCGCAACCCUCGUCCUUAGUUGCCAUCAUUAAGUUGGGCAUUUUAAGGAGACUGCCGGUGUCAAACCGGAGGAAGGUGGGGAUGACGUCAAGUCCUCAUGGCCCUUAUGUCCAGGGCUACACACGUGCUACAAUGGGCGGUACAAUGAGUCGCAAAACUGCGAGGUGGAGCUAAUCUCAAAAAGCCGUCCUCAGUUCGGAUUGGAGUCUGCAACUCGACUCCAUGAAGUCGGAAUCGCUAGUAAUCGCGGAUCAGAAUGCCGCGGUGAAUACGUUCCCGGGCCUUGUACACACCGCCCGUCACAUCACGAAAGUCGGCUGUACUCGAAGUCGCUGAG